UCUUGGGUGUGUUUUCGGUGUGAGGAACAAGAAAGAGCUGGAGGAGUGUGUUGGAGAGUAAGAAAACCGAAAUGGACAAGGGAAAGAAGAGAGAGGAGUGCAUUUAAGUUUUUGCCAUUUUUGGACCAACAAAAAAGAUGCUUGCCUUGACUCAAGGAAGGUUUCCACUUUUGCACUUUGUCUUUACUUGCAAUCUGCC
rnacentral:lncRNA from 1 species